AUCCGUUACAUAUGUGUAAGUGUGUUACUGUACGUUCCAAGAUGCUACCAACAUAUCUCCUGUCUACAGGUCCUCCAUGUUUUAUAACUUUGUUAAGGCCAUGUUGGUGAGGAACCCGAAGAAGAGACCCAGCGCCUCCAAGAUGCUCUCAAACACGUUUUUGACCCAGCAAGGCCUGAACCAGGAGCUGACCCUGGACCUGCUGGAGAAGUAUCGACACCCUGAGAAACUCAAGUCCUGCCUGGUGACGGAAGACGACGAGAUGGAGGUGAUGGGCUCUUUGAAGAGGAUCCAGUCUAUCAACAAGCACAACCAGG
rnacentral:lncRNA from 1 species